rnacentral:rRNA from 1 species
CAGUAGCCACGGUAAUACGUAGGGUGCAAGCGUUAAUCGGAAUUACUGGGCGUAAAGCGUGCGUAGGCGGUUUGUUAAGUCUGUUGUGAAAUCCCCGGGCUCAACCUGGGAAUGGCAAUGGAUACUGGCAAGCUAGAGUGUGUCAGAGGAUGGUGGAAUUCCCGGUGUAGCGGUGAAAUGCGUAGAGAUCGGGAGGAACAUCAGUGGCGAAGGCGGCCAUCUGGGACAACACUGACGCUGAGGCACGAAAGCGUGGGGAGCAAACAGGAUUAGAUACCCCAGUAGUCCCUGUCUCUUAUAA